GGAGGGCGCUACCUGCAGUCGAGCGGUAGAGAGAACUUGCUUCUCUUGAGAGCGGCGGACGGGUGAGUAAUGCCUAGGAAUCUGCCUAGUGGUGGGGGAUAACGUUCGGAAACGGACGCUAAUACCGCAUACGUCCUACGGGAGAAAGCGGGGGAUCUUCGGACCUCGCGCCAUUAGAUGAGCCUAGGUCGGAUUAGCUAGUUGGUGAGGUAAUGGCUCACCAAGGCGACGAUCCGUAACUGGUCUGAGAGGAUGAUCAGUCACACUGGAACUGAGACACGGUCCAGACUCCUACGGGAGGCAGCAGUGGGGAAUAUUGGACAAUGGGCGAAAGCCUGAUCCAGCCAUGCCGCGUGUGUGAAGAAGGUCUUCGGAUUGUAAAGCACUUUAAGUUGGGAGGAAGGGUAGUAACCUAAUACGUUGCUACUUUGACGUUACCGACAGAAUAAGCACCGGCUAACUUCGUGCCAGCAGCCGCGGUAAUACGAAGGGUGCAAGCGUUAAUCGGAAUUACUGGGCGUAAAGCGCGCGUAGGUGGUUCAGUAAGUUGGAAGUGAAAUCCCCGGGCUCAACCUGGGAACUGCUUUCAAAACUGCUGAGCUAGAGUACGGUAGAGGGUGGUGGAAUUUCCUGUGUAGCGGUGAAAUGCGUAGAUAUAGGAAGGAACACCAGUGGCGAAGGCGACCACCUGGACUGAUACUGACACUGAGGUGCGAAAGCGUGGGGAGCAAACAGGAUUAGAUACCCUGGUAGUCCACGCCGUAAACGAUGUCAACUAGCCGUUGGGAUCCUUGAGAAUUUAGUGGCGCAGCUAACGCAUUAAGUUGACCGCCUGGGGAGUACGGC
rnacentral:rRNA from 1 species